UACGAAGGGGGCUAGCGUUGUUCGGAUUUACUGGGCGUAAAGCGCACGUAGGCGGUUUUGUUAAGUCAGGGGUGAAAUCCCAGAGCUCAACUCUGGAACUGCCUUUGAUACUGGCAAGCUCGAGUCCGGAAGAGGUAAGUGGAACUCCUAGUGUAGAGGUGGAAUUCGUAGAUAUUAGGAAGAACACCAGUGGCGAAGGCGGCUUA
rnacentral:rRNA from 1 species